rnacentral:rRNA from 1 species
CGAAAGCCUGACGGAGCAAGACCGCGUGAGGGAGGAAGGUCUGUGGAUUGUAAACCCCUUUUCUCAGGGAAGAAGUUCUGACAGUACCUGAGGAAUCAGCAUCGGCUAACUCCGUGCCAGCAGCCGCGGUAAUACGGAGGAGGCAAGCGUUAUCCGGAAUUAUUGGGCGUAAAGCGUCCGCAGGUGGCGAUUCAAGUCUGCUGUCAAAGCACGGGGCUUAACUCCGUUAAGGCAGUGGAAACUGAAUGGCUAGAGUGCCGUAGGGGUAGAGGGAAUUCCCGGCGUAGCGGUGAAAUGCGUAGAGAUCGGGAAGAACAUCGGUGGCGAAAGCGCUCUACUGGACGGCAACUGACACUCAGGGACGAAAGCUAGGGGAGCG